AAAAAUGCUUCAACUGCAUUUUUAUUUUAAUCUAUUAUAUUCAACUGAGAAGUUUUAUAUGGAUAUAAAGGAGCUAAGAAAUAAUGCUUCCACAGCAGAUUGUGAUGUAUAAUCUAAUAACUUUCGAUACAUUACAUGAAUGCAGGUAUAUGGUUAUCGGAUGUCUCUUUGGGCAGAGCACCUUGGCAUCCUUGAGGAGGAGUUCCGCGAACCACAGACUUUAAAAUGCAUAAAGCUUGUCAACAAGAUCGCCAAACGUAACUGGAAGACUUACGUUGCUGAGGAGAACAAGGAAAUGAGAGGACACCUGGCGCUGGUGGGCUGGUGGGGCGGCG
rnacentral:misc_RNA from 1 species